GAUGAAGAACGUAGCGAAAUGCGAUAAGUAAUGUGAAUUGCAGAAUUCAGUGAAUCAUCGAAUCUUUGAACGCACAUUGCGCCCGUCAGUAUUCUGGCGGGCAUGCCUGUUCGAGCGUCAUUACGCCCCUCAAGUCCCCUGUGGACUUGGUGUUGGGGAUCGGCGAGGCUGGUUUUCCAGCACAGCCGUCCCUUAAAUUAAUUGGCGGUCUCGCCGUGGCCCUCCUCUGCGCAGUAGUAAAACACUCGCAACAGGAGCCCGGCGCGGUCCACUGCCGUAAAACCCCCCAACUUUUUAUAGUUGACCUCGAAUCAGGUAGGACUACCCGCUGAACUUAAGCAUAUCAGUAAGCGGAGGA
rnacentral:misc_RNA from 1 species